rnacentral:rRNA from 1 species
GAUGAACGCUGGCGGCGUGCCUAACACAUGCAAGUCGAACGGAAAGACCAUGAGCUUGUGCGGUUCUCGUUUGCGGCGGGCGUGAGUGUAACGUGUGUAUCCUCCACUUGUAUUUCUGGUAUAAUCACGAGAAUCCGGCUAUUAUCCGGUAGAAUAUACUGAACCGUGGGGGGCGUUGGAGAGUGUCGGCGUUUGGGGAUGGACUCGCGGCGUAUUAGCUAGUUGGUUGGGUAGGGGAUUACCAAGGCUACGAUGGGUAGACGGCCUGAGCGGGUGAUCGGCCACACUGGAACUGAGACACGGUCCAGACUCCUACGGGAGGCAGCAGUAGGGAAUCUUCCGCAAUGGGCGAAAGCCUGACGGAGCAACGCCGCGUGAGUGAUGAAGGUCUUCGGAUCGUAAAACUCUGUUAUUGGGGAAGAACAAAUGUGUACGUAACUAUGGACGUCUUGACGGUACCUAAUCAGAAAGCCACGGCUAACUACGUG